rnacentral:lncRNA from 1 species
AUUCCAUAUCAUGCAUUGGUAGUCUAAAUUAGUUUAAUUUUGAUUUAGUACCAACUUGGUGAAAUUCUCGAUUUUGUACUGUGUCAAGGUGGUGAGUCCUCUGAUAAAGGCAAAGAAAUUGCAUCCGAGGACCAGUAGACAGAGUGCUUCGAAAGUCUGCAUUCUAGACAUUGUGAGUAAACUUACUGUCAUUUUAAUUAUCUAUGGUGGUUUUUAGAUGCUUUCAUGAAUUCUAUGAAAAAAGAAAUUUAAAAAGGUAAAUUUUCAUGUUUAUGAAUAAAUGUGUUUCAAUGAAAUUAAUUUAUAAAUUGUUUUGAAAUUAAUAGUGAUUUUGAAAAAUAAAGUACACGGAGACUGUUAAUUGUGGCAAUUUGAUUGUUUAAAUUGACUGGCUUAUGAUAAAUCAUGCAUGAUUGGCUACUUGGCAAUUGCAUUAAAAUGCGAAUUGUUUGGUUACCUUGAAAAACUGCGAAUUACAAAAUUGCCAUAUCAUGUUAUUCUGUGGACCAGCCUUUUAGAGGGGCACGGUAAACCCCAUUAUAUUCUUACCUCGAAUGGAGAGGCGCAUAGGGUAUCUCCUGGGGUAAAGUUUAGGGUUCACUUCAUGCUAAAUGACCACGUGAGGGGGAACUCAGUCAACGCCAAGGAACGGCUAUGGUUUCAAAACAAAAACAUGAUUUAUGUGAAAUGUGAAUUUUAAUAGCCUUGGCGGUCUCGGUAGGAUGCCUCGGCCAAGGUGUCCCUGAGAAUGGAUUUAUGGCCCAAGUCUAGAUUUUUAUGAGAUUCAUAAGCCUUUUUACGUAUUUUGAAGGAGAUGUGUUCUAAUUGUAUAACCCAGUUUAUGAUGAUUUACUUUAUUGUCUCCAUGUACUCAACUCUAGAUGUUUAUAAUGAUGUUUGUUUACUCAUUGGGAUUUUAUAAUCUCACCACCCUCCUUUCCACCCAUUUCAGGUUCAGUAUAGACUGUAGAUAGCUGAUCUCAUCGAGGACUACAGUGGGAUCUGCAUUUUCCAAACCGUAGGUUCACAGUCCUCUUUACUUUUGUUUAUUCAGGGGCACUCUUGUUGUUGUAAAUUAAAUUAAAUAUUUUGGCUUAUUGUAUUUAAGUAUGUAUAAAUUUAUUUAGCUUUUAUGCUAUAAAAAAUUAUUCACGUGUAACUCUAUAAAU